AUUGAACGCUGGCGGCAGGCCUAACACAUGCAAGUCGAGCGGGGUUUUCGGACCUAGCGGCGGACGGGUGAGUAAUGCGUAGGAAGCUACCCGAUAGAGGGGGAUACCAGUUGGAAACGACUGUUAAUACCGCAUAAUGUCUACGGACCAAAGUGUGGGACAUUCGGGCCACAUGCUAUCGGAUGCGCCUACGUGGGAUUAGCUAGUUGGUGAGGUAAUGGCUCACCAAGGCGACGAUCCCUAGCUGGUUUGAGAGGAUGAUCAGCCACACUGGAACUGAGACACGGUCCAGACUCCUACGGGAGGCAGCAGUGGGGAAUAUUGGACAAUGGGCGCAAGCCUGAUCCAGCCAUGCCGCGUGUGUGAAGAAGGCCUUCGGGUUGUAAGGCACUUUCAGUAGGGAGGAAGCGUUGUGUGUUAAUAGUACACAGCGUUGACGUUACCUACAGAAGAAGCACCGGCUAACUCUGUGCCAGCAGCCGCCGUAACAC
rnacentral:rRNA from 1 species